rnacentral:rRNA from 1 species
UGCAAGCCGAGCGGUAUUGUUUCUUCGGAAAUGAGAGAGCGGCGUACGGGUGCGGAACACGUGUGCAACCUGCCUUUAUCUGGGGGAUAGCCUUUCGAAAGGAAGAUUAAUACUCCAUAAUAUAUUGAACGGCAUCGUUUAAUAUUGAAAGCUCCGGCGGAUAGAGAUGGGCACGCGCAAGAUUAGCUAGUUGGUGAGGUAACGGCUCACCAAGGCAAUGAUCUUUAGGGGGCCUGAGAGGGUGAUCCCCCACACUGGUACUGAGACACGGACCAGACUCCUACGGGAGGCAGCAGUGAGGAAUAUUGGUCAAUGGGUGCAAGCCUGAACCAGCCAUCCCGCGUGAAGGACGACUGCCCUAUGGGUUGUAAACUUCUUUUGUAUAGGGAUAAACCUUUCCACGUGUGGAAAGCUGAAGGUACUAUACGAAUAAGCACCGGCUAACUCCGUGCCAGCAC